rnacentral:lncRNA from 1 species
UCCGUUUAAGCCCCUAAUUCAUGUGUAACCCGUCAUUUCAUGCGCAAAACUUCCUCCAAUUAAUCCCAAAUUUUACCACGUCAUCCUCCAAAAUACCUCCGCCGAUCUAUAUCCAAAUUUCCCAAAAUAAAUCUUUCUACCUAUUUUCCGUUCACGUUUCCUGUUCGGAGCUCACGGUUAAAAACCGAUCUUUCUUUUAUUUAUUUGUGUGUCUGUUUGUGUGUGCCGUAGAUCGCGGAUUGCCCGAGGAGGAGUUUGACCGCGAGCCCGAGCCUGAGGACCAGUACCGCGAGCCGGAACUUCCGGAAGGCUUUGAAGACGGCAAGUCCAAUCUCACCCUUUGAUGCAUACUUAAUACCUAGUUUUUCGAACACAACCUAUUGGCCUGUUUUACAAAAUGCAUGUUAUUUCAUCGCAAGACAUGGUAGGAUCAACCCCACUCAAUGUUUUGGGUAUUAAAGGAAAACUUUACAAAAACCCUUUCGAAAACGAUCCCCUGCAUGUGUUAAAAUUAGCUUUACUGCAAAUAAACUAUAGCCUAUCCUUGUUGUACAUGUGCAUAAACUUGCUUGUAUCCCCCUCCGUGGAUGGGGUUGGACUUGUUGAGUACGUUUGUACUCACCCUUGCUUCGUUGCUACAGAGGAAGACCUGGACUUCGUCGUCGAGGACCUUGAGUAGAGGUUGUGUCCGCACCCGACGCUGCCUGUGGUGUUGGCCUACCCAAGAUGCUGCUGCUGCCGUGUAGUCCCGAGUGCUGUCUUUUGGCAGUCGCUUGGUUAGCCGCCGUUAUUUAUCUACUGCUUAUCGCUGCGUGGCUUUCACACCCACUCCCUCGGGAGUUGUA